GCCUACGGGGGGCAGCAGUGAGGAAUAUUGGUCAAUGGCCGAGAGGCUGAACCAGCCAAGUCGCGUGAGGGAAGACGGCCCUACGGGUUGUAAACCUCUUUUGUCGGGGAGCAAAGCGAGUCACGUGUGACUCAUUGAGAGUACCCGAAGAAAAAGCAUCGGCUAACUCCGUGCCAGCAGCCGCGGUAAUACGGAGGAUGCGAGCGUUAUCCGGAUUUAUUGGGUUUAAAGAGUGCGCAGGCGGAAGCGCAAGUCAGCGGUAAAAUUGAGAGGCUCAACCUCUUCCCGCCGUUGAAACUGCGUUU
rnacentral:rRNA from 1 species